rnacentral:sRNA from 1 species
UUCUUUCUGUGUCCUGUAACAAAGACGCCUGGUGUCUAAUGAAGGGAAUAAAGUGACAUUUUCUGUGAUUUCGAAAAAAACACAGACCACACAGCCGGCGAUCCAGAUGCACAGGGGCCGGAAAAAGAGAGACUGCCCGCCGCAUAAUUAAUUGCGACCGAAAGUGGACGACGGUUUUUCGUGGCGGCAGAAAG